GGGGAAUCUUCCGCAAUGGACGAAAGUCUGACGGAGCAACGCCGCGUGAGUGAUGACGGCCUUCGGGUUGUAAAGCUCUGUUAAUCGGGACGAAAGGUCCUCUUGCGAAUAGUUAGAGGAAUUGACGGUACCGGAAUAGAAAGCCACGGCUAACUACGUGCCAGCAGCCGCGGUAAUACGUAGGUGGCAAGCGUUGUCCGGAAUUAUUGGGCGUAAAGCGCGCGCAGGCGGAUCAGUCAGUCUGUCUUAAAAGUUCGGGGCUUAACCCCGUGAUGGGAUGGAAACUGCUGAUCUAGAGUAUCGGAGAGGAAAGUGGAAUUCCUAGUGUAGCGGUGAAAUGCGUAGAUAUUAGGAAGAACACCAGUGGCGAAGGCGACUUUCUGGACGAAAACUGACGCUGAGGCGCGAAAGCCAGGGGAGCGAACGGGAUUAGAUACCCCGGUAGUCCUGGCCGUAAACGAUGGGUACUAGGUGUAGGAGGUAUCGACCCCUUCUGUGCCGGAGUUAACGCAAUAAGUACCCCGCCUGGGGAGUACGACCGCAAGGUUG
rnacentral:rRNA from 1 species